rnacentral:rRNA from 1 species
UUGUCGUCAGCUCGUGUCGUGAGAUGUGGUUAAGUCCGCAACGAGCGCAACCCCUAUCGUUAGUUGCCAUCAUUCAGUUGGGCACUCUAGCGAGACUGCCGGUAAUAAACCGGAGGAAGGUGGGGAUGACGUCAAAUCAUCAUGCCCCUUAUGACCUGGGCUACACACGUGCUACAAUGGUUGGUACAACGAGUUGCGAGUCGGUGACGGCGAGCUAAUCUCUUAAAGCCAAUCUCAGUUCGGAUUGUAGGCUGCAACUCGCCUACAUGAAGUCGGAAUCGCUAGUAAUCGCGGAUCAGCACGCCGCGGUCGAAUACGUUCCCGGGCCUU